rnacentral:lncRNA from 1 species
AAUCUCAUCAUCAUAUAUAUAAAAUAAUAAAAUUUUAAAAAAUUAUUUCUAAACUGCAUACAACUAAAUAAAUUAUUUGUAGUUGCAGUAUUUUCUGCUACAUCCAAUCAAAUAAGAUGCAUGUAAUUGAAGUUGCUGCAUUUUUAAUUGCAUGCAUCUCCAGCUACACUGAAUUUAAAAUUACAUCUAACCAAACGGCCCCU